UACGUAGGGUGCGAGCGUUGUCCGGAUUUAUUGGGCGUAAAGAGCUCGUAGGCGGUUUGUCGCGUCGGCCGUGAAAUCUCCACGCUUAACGUGGAGCGUGCGGUCGAUACGGGCAGACUUGAGUUCGGUAGGGGAGACUGGAAUUCCUGGUGUAGCGGUGAAAUGCACAGAUAUCAGGAGGAACACCGGUGGCGAAGGCGGGUCUCUGGGCCGAUACUGACGCUGAGGAGCGAAAGCGUGGGGAGCGAACAGG
rnacentral:rRNA from 1 species